GACGAACUAGGUUAUCGAUUGUUCAGUAUUAAGUAUAUUCUGAAAGUAUGCAUUUUUGCCGUCUGAAUGUACGGGCACACGGUAUUUGGCUUGUUGCCGCCAUUACUUAAAUGAUAAGCUCAUUAUUGUCAUGAGUUUGAAAGUCGUAGGAGGAAAGACUGCGAAUAAAACACUUGCACUAUCACGUUUUGCAUUACGCUGUCUCUAUUUACAUCGAAGCAGCAUGGCCGGGGGCCAGGCGUAAACCUUGAAGUGUUCAAAUCGCAACUUCACCUUCGUUUGGCACGCGACAUGAUCCUUUUAUUCGCAGUUCUUAUUGUAAGAAACAGCAAGGGCGACUUGCGCUGAAGACAAGACGUACUGUAACUUUGGUUUUAUAGUGUGUGUAGAGAGACACAGUAUAGGCAGGGCCUGCCUCCACCCAAUUAUAGUCACCAUUAGUACGCAGCCAGCGUAAAAUAUAAUAGAAACCAUCUCCGAGCUAAUAAAGAUGACACAACGGUCACCCAGGAAAAGCCCACGCUUAAAUGAUGGCCAGGAGAUAGCUACCACUGCGAGUGGGACGCAGCUAAAGCAGACAAGUAGAAUGGUGAGCACUGUACCACAAAUGCAAAUUCCCGUUGUUAGCCCUAAAGCCCCAGCACCGUGGAUGUGGACACAAGUGUACAACCUGCCGGCACUAUGGACGCGGGAGUGAGUGCACGAGCCAGCACAUUGGCAGGAACGCCAAGCCCAAGCACGCAACUCUCAAGUACGCAAGUCAGGGACUUGAUAAAGAGAGUCGCUGCGCUAGAGGACGAGUUGCAGAGGUCAAAAACUGGUGAAGCACAUGUGAGUACAGUUACUUAUCCCGAUGAGUAAUGCUGGCGUGAGUAGUACAGCUAACCUGCCGCCAUCUUUGCUCGCAGCUUUGAGCGGAGAGCCACCGUCGGGUGGAAGUUUGAGUGAAACUGCAACUAUGAGUGUAGUCCCAAAUUCAAGAAUCGCCAUCUUUGUUUGAGGCACUGCCUAUUGCCCCAUUUCACAGCCAACGCUCAGCUACACUCCGGCACAGGAGAACCAACAAGCGAUAAUUUUGGAGCCAAUGCAGGCAACUGGGAACUACGAAAACAACUUUGGCGUACAACUUGUGAGGCGGCUAAUGAGACCAGCCACCCCACAGUUUUUACGGCAAGGUGCCGUCAUCCCUUUGGCCAAAUUACGGCAAGGAGCCGCUGGCGGCACAACGUAUUAUGUAAUGGUUCCAAGUUUUAAAAGACUUCUGUCUUUCUUGAUGGUUCUUUAUUAUCUGUUUUCUUUUCGAGUUCGAGCUGUCCACCGCGAAGCAGUGAGCAGCCGUUUUACAUACAUGGUUUUUGGAUUAUUAUAUACAGCAAGAGAGUCAGAGAGAGUCAUGCGCGCACAUAUGU